CAGAGCUACGUAAAGGAAAUGAACAUGAUCAUGUUAUGGACUAUUGAUAGACGAUAUUUCUAAUGAAAAUAUCUAUAUUUCCGAUAUUGAGAUUUACUAAUUGGUAUCGAUGAAAACUUUCAGUUGUUGUUCAUCAAGCAAAGAUAAGACUCAAAGACGCUACCAAAACACAAGAGGAAGACUGAGACAACAAGGCUAGUAACAAAUACAUGAAGGAAGGUCAAGCGAACAAAGCACAAAUGUCAUUCAGUAUCAACGAACUGAUAUUAAAUUUCACAACUCGCUUUUGACAAAGAGCGCACGCUGCAUGCUAGCCUUUGUUUGGUCAAAGACAUAGGCUGCCGCACCACAUGGGACGGAUGCCUGGAUUCCAAGUAUCGAUAAUAGUCGAUAUUUACAUGUUGAUAUUAACAUCAAAAACCAUUGUACUCAUUAGGUAGACUUUACACUUGUAAAUCAAAAUUAGUUUCUGACUGUUGAAGUUCUGAUAAAACGAAAAGAAACAUAUGGAUCUUUUUAAUUUCAAUUUCCAACUUCUAGGAACAACCAGCAAAAGCACUUUGUUUGCGGACACGUCAUUGUAUUAAGGAAAUCAGUUAAAUUACCUCUAUAUGCUUGAAAAAAAUUCACAAUAAAUCACCGUUUUAGUUUAAUAUUGAGAAAUUUUAUUAAGCUGUUAAAAUUUACAGGCAUCUGAAUCGAAGUUUUGUAUUAAUAUCAUUCAAAAGCCUGGUGUCAAA